rnacentral:misc_RNA from 1 species
GAUGAAGAACGCAGCGAAAUGCGAUAAGUAGUGUGAAUUGCAGAAUUCAGUGAAUCAUCGAAUCUUUGAACGCACAUUGCGGCCAUAGGUAUUCCUUUGGCCAUGCCUGUUCGAGCGUCAUUUACACCCUCAAGCCUAGCUUGGUGUUGGGCGUCUGUCCCGCCGUUCUCGCGCGCGGACUCGCCUCAAAGUCAUUGGCGGCGGUCGUGCCGGCCCCCUCGCGCAGCACAUUUGCGCUUCUCGGAGGCCCGGCGGAUCCGCGCUCCAGCAAGACCUUUCACGACUUGACUUCGGAUCAGGUAGGGAUACCCGCUGAACUUAAGCAUAUCAAUAAGCGGAGGA